rnacentral:rRNA from 1 species
CAAUAGCGUAUAUUUAAGUUGUUGCAGUUAAAAAGCUCGUAGUUGGAUUUUGGGUCGGGGGCACCGGUCCGCCGUUCCGGUGUGCACUGGUGGCCCCUUCCUUUCUGCCGGGGACGUGCGUCGCACUUAAUUGGGUGGCGUUCGGAGUCGGCGUUGUUACUUUGAAAAAAUUAGAGUGUUCAAAGCAAGCCAUCGCUCUGAAUACAUUAGCAUGGAAUAACAUGAUAGGACUCCGGUCUUAUUUUGUUGGUUUCCGAGACUGGAGUAAUGAUUAAGAGGGACAGUCGGGGGCAUCCGUAUUUCAUUGUCAGAGGUGAAAUUCUUGGAUUUAUGAAAGACGAGCUUCUGCGAAAGCAUUUGCCAAGGAUGUUUUCAUUAA